CUUCUGCAACAAGAGAUCGUAACGCAUCCUUCCUUUUCUCACUCUCUCACUCGCUUCUUGUUUUCGUUUCGCUCAUCACAGAUCGGCCCCCUCCCCCCACACACGCACACCCCAACAACCCCUCGCACACCACCGCAUUCUUCCUUGUCUUUCUGUGCUCUCAUAGCUUUCCCCUCCCCCAUCCCCUCCUUCGUCGUCUCGUGCGUACUUCCUCCUUCGCGGCUGUUGUGUAGGGCGUUGGCGCACCGCAUUCUGCCCCCUCCCCCCUUAGCCACAUACACAUAUUUUCUUCUUUUAUUCGGUUGACCAUCCAAUCAGCAGGAGCGGCAUUAUUGUGAGCUCGCAUCGUCCGCAGAAGCCGCACGGCCUCCCGACCCCUCCUCCCAUUUCGUUCGCUUCUUUCUUUCCCAUCCUCGUCGACACCUGCUGCGUGUUCGAGUCGACGAGGACGACAGCGCAGCAGCAUCACGGAUCUCCGCCACCACUCGUCUUUACUCCUUUUCCUUUUCGCUUAGCCGGCACGUUGCUGCGAGCCCCCCCCCUCCCGCAUCAAGCAUCUUCAAUCGAUAACAAAACCGUUUUACAGCAGCUGCGGCGCUAGAAUCAGUGGAAGGAUGUACGCGCUCGAAAUCUCGACCACCUCGCCGUACCGGUCGGCACCAUACUACUCCCUGGUGAUUCGUAAACCGUACAUUCUCGGCCAGUACGCGGCGGCCGAUAUCAGCCUAGCAUACGAGGGUAUCUCGGACGAGCACGUGUCCGUGACGGUGCUGCAUGAAAACGAGGCGGCCCGCGAGGUGGAGGCAGCCGCACGCACAGCCCCCGCAUUUGAGCACGACAGCAUCGUUUCGGCCAAUGACGCGCUGGAGGAGCAGCGCAGCGGGGUCUCUGAUGCACCCGCCGAAGCUGACGGUAAAGGCUGCAGGCUGGUAGUGCGUGUGACGGCCCUACCCACGAAGGGCGACGCUGAAGUACGCCUUGGUGAGACGACCCUGAACGCGGGCGACUCGGCGAUCGCUCACGACGGCGACAUGCUAUAUCUUGGUGAUGGCAUCUGCGGCACUUUUCGCUACCGCCCGCUGAUGGUCGGUAUCGAGCGUAAUGCGUACCCCGAGGACUACAUGAAUGACCUGCGCCGCAUGUUCGGCCAACUAGGUGCGACUCUUGUGGAUGAGCCUAUACCUUCGCACGAGGCGCCGGCGAUUCCGAUUGGGCAGCUUUACUGUGCUGCCGAGCUCAACGACAGCACGAACUGCUUGGCUGCCCUUUCCUACGGCUACUCCAUCGUGCAGCCAACGUACGUGUUCGAGUGGUUCGCGGCGGUGGCGAAGAACGCGGCGGCGCCGCUCAGCACGCUGCCGGCCCCGUCGCGCUUCGAGGUGCCGGUGCGCUGCACAAAUCACCCUACCUCCACCACAUACCUUCGCCCCGAGUCGGACACCUGCCCGUUCUCCCUCUUUCCCAUCCCUUCCACCGCCAUGACCAACCGCUCGCGCGCCGACCUGUUCGCCAACCGCGUCUUUUUCUUCUUCACGGACGCUUCAGCGACGCGCUACUGGCGCGCGGUCGAGUGCUGCGGCGGCGCCGUCUACGGCCCGGGUGACGUGGAGGCGGCGAAGGAGGCGAUCCACGCGCUGGUGGAGUCGCAGCGCGAGGCCGGUGCGCCCGCCAACUGCCUACCUGAGAAUUUCUACAUCAUCAUCGACAACACAUCGGAGGCGGUGCUGCUGAACUCGGGGCUUGAGGCAGCAUCGCCGGAAUUGAUGGCGUUCAUCGAGGAGGCCUGCGCCACCUCCGGCGCCACUCACCUGCCGGUGAUGGGCGACCACUCCCUCUUUACAGCUCUGCUAAGCAACAAGUUCUACGAGGAACCGGUGCCACUGACGGCCGAACCCCCGACUGCUGCUGGCGUGGGGUACAGCACCGCGCACAGCGACCCGGGCGAUGCCUUCGUGAUGCCAUUGUUCAACCUCCAUACGGACGACGGCGAGGAGGGUGCGGGCACCACCAGUGCAGGGGCGCCGCGGUCGGGGUAUGCUAGCGGUGGUGCCGCGUCGUCCAGGGUCCGCUCCGCCUCUCGCGUGAGUGAGCGGCGCGCCAGCUCGUUGCAUCGCACCACCGCCCACACCCUUUCAUGGAGCCGGAUGCGCUCCCGAAGCCGCCAGCGUGCUCGCUCCCUCUCCGCGAGCACGCCUGGGCAGAACGACGGGGGCCUCUUCUUCGCCAACAGCGGGCAGCACUGCGCUGGUGGCACGACGGCGGGGCACCACCGGAGGCGUCGCCUCGUGCCCUUCGCUGUCCAAGGUGAGCUGCGCGCCUUUAUUGAAUACUUUGAUGUGCUGCGUAUUCGCAUCUACGCCUUCCUCGUGCGCGAGGAGCCGAAGCUGGACAAAGCCAUCACGGUCUAUCACAGGAACUACUUCGUUGACAGGGACACCAUGGACUACGCCCUGGAGGUUAAGGCGCAGGCGGUCGACUUCAUGGAACGCGUGGAGGACUUACUGGCGAGUAACGUGUGCCAUGGCCCGUACACGGAGUCGCUGCACCGCUUCUGGGCCGACUGCAGCGACAUAAACACAAAGGCAGAACACCUGCUGCACUGCUGGGAUCGGAGCAUGUCUGCCGCUGUUCUGCCUCGCCGCAUCCUCUCUCGCCGGCCAAGCAGCACAGACAGCCGCCGUGCGACGUCGUCGCGUAGCGUGACCUCGCGUGGUGCGGCACGGGCAGCGAACUCUCCGGCGUCGGCGGCGUGCAAAGCGGAGCCGGCCACGUCCGACACCAACGACGGCGCCGACGACGACCACGCCGCUGCGGCUUUCGUAGACGCUCAGCAGCCGAACGACAGCGAGGGUGCGUGCGAGUAUCAGAGCGAACACGCAGGACCCGAGGCCUCGCAGCCACUCGAGGCGGUGAGUCACAUUCACGAGCAACCGAUGACGGCGCAGGACGCCGCUGCGGCGGAGUCGCCGGCCACCGCCCCGAACGCCCCCUCCAUCUCCACGUCCACCCGCACAUCGCAUCGCCGGUCGUCCGCGUCGUCGCCGUCGCAUUCUCGCAGCGGUGCCGCUGCCGCCAAGCCGCGGUCGAUCCCCCUUGCGGCGCGGCCGCCGUGGGUGAGCGACUGGAAUGAUGAGAACAGCAGCCAACAGCAGCCGCAACAGAAGCAACAGAAGCAGCAGAAGCGGGCGGGGACACGCAAGCCCGCUUCACACACGCCUGCACCGACGCCGGUGCCUUAUCCGCCUCUGCGCGUGCCCUUGGCGAUUCUUCAGCCCGAGUGCGCGGCCGACUCGCCGACGGUUGUGCGUGCGCGCUCGGCAAGACGUGCCGGCAGCGCCCACGCUUGCCACCCGCCUUCGCAGCAGGAGCCGGAGCAACAGACCCACCGGGAGGGCUUCGGCGAAGGCUCCACCAGGCCUGAGGAGACCGAGGAUGCGACGGGGGCGCUGACGACGACCACACAGGUCCCCGUGGAGGCACCGGAGAUGAAUGUCACCGAAGAUGGAGAUGCGAGCCAAGUGCCCAGCGCACCCGCACCCGUCCCCGAGCCGGCCCCCGCAAAGAAGACGCGUGCGUCGACGUCGCGGCACCACACGGGGCCGCUCAAGCGGCGCAACAACUCCGCGCCGGCCUCAAAGCGCAACAACUCAGGCACUACGCCGCUCCGGUCGAACGGCCAGGGCGCAGCUGCUCACGCUGCCGCCAACGGAAACGGCUACCACCAGCGUGACGCGUCUGCGGUUGUGGCUGCUAACGGCAAUGGCAAUACCCAGCAACAGCGUGCCCGCCCCACGCGGAAGUACUGAGAGAGGCGCCAUUAUGAUCUCUAAUCAAAGGGAUCGGUGCAGUGCAAGCGAGUGACCAUAGACGAGCACGACGGGAGGAGGUGCGGUGAGGAUGGGGCCCACCUGCGCAAGCCCCUCCCACCCCAAACGCAUAGGCACGUACGCGUCGGUAGGUAGGCGGGCGAGACACAUCGCCAUGCGGACGCUCCGGUUUCUGCGGGAGGUGAUGAUGCGCGCAACUGCUGUCUCGAGACGCAGAGCCGCCACCACCUCCGUCCCUCCCUGUGUGUGCCCGCGCCUCUGUCUCUCUGUCUCUGUGUGGGGGCGAGUCUCCUCCCUUUCUUUCGGUUUACAUCUCGUGCGCGGGCUUGAAGCGCACGCCAGCGCCCGCUCACUCGCCCAUUCGCGGAUUUGUUUUCGCUGCCUCUCUUUUCUCGUAGAGCGUCGAGACGGUGUUGUGUGUAUCUGUUCAUAUCUGUAUGUGUGUGUUCGUGUGCGGCUGGAGGGAUCCUCCAAAGCAGGAGAACGAGGGAGCGAGUGGGCGAGAGCGAGGGAGUAAGGAAAAGGCGUGGUAUACGGUUUGUUGUCGUGCGCGUGUCGGCCGUCUCAUAUGUGCGCGUGCGUGUGCCCUCUAACGUGUUUCUUCUGCUUUUCAUUUUUGCCUUCGUUGCGUUCCGCAAAUGUGCCGGCCAGCCGGCGCACGUGUGUGCGCGCGUGCGUGCUGGCGACGGUGCAGAUGAUGAUGCUAUUCUCAUGCACCUUACGUGCUUCUUCUCUUUAUUGUUAUUUACCUCCGCGGCUCUUCUUCGUCCCCCCUCUCCCAUUUUUCGCACACGCACUCUGCUCUCGCGUGCGCCAGAACGCACAGGCGGGGGUGGGGGCCGGAAGACGGUUGCGCUCGCCCUUGUUUCUCUGGCCUCCACCCCCCCCCCCCCAACGCGGCUGAGUUUUGUUUGCUCUUGUGCUCUCUUUUCGGUUGCUUCCUGUCUUUAUAUUUGUUGUUGUGCGUGCGUGCGCGCGGUUUGGACGCCUGACCGGAUGAUGAUCGACAUCCCCCUUCCCCACGAUACCUGUGCCCUCUUCCCCCUCCAUCCGCCCAGGAUCAUCGGCCGUCACUAACGCGUGUGAAGGUUGCGAUCAAUGCGACAUAUAUAUAUAUAUAUGCAAGCGUGCACUUGUAUGUGUUCGUGUGUAUGGGAGUGUGUGGGUGUGUGUCCCCUUAUCCAUUCUCUCACCGUGUGUACGUUUUGUUUCUGUUUUGGGUUUCCUGUCUUCGCAAGCGAUGGUGGUUGUCUGUGCGCAUGCAUGCAUGUGUGUGUGUUCUCUCUCUGUUUUUGGGCUGCUGCUCCUCUUCUUACGCUGUGUCUUUCUUCUCUUUCUCUCUCUAUAUUGCCCUUCCUCUUUACUUUUCGCUAACCCCGACCAUGCUGAUUCCGGGUCACCUUACCGCGCUGCCACACCGGGUCCAGUGCCCACUCUUUGUGGGGAAGCCAAGCAGCCUGCGCAUCCUGUCCCGCCCCCAUUCGGGGAUACGGGUGCGGACUCGUGGUGUCGGCAGACAGGUCUGGGCUGGCGCCGUGCCGAAGAGGCGUGCUGUCACGAUGAUCACACCUGCACCAGCUCGCCGGGAAUCGUGCCGAUGAUUCAACAAAGAUACGAAAGGAGAAAAAAAAAGGCAGCAGCCACGGCACACCGGCAGCGGUGCAGCGUCUCCGAGGGUCCUGACCCCUGAGGCUGGCAAACCCCUUCCUUGAGCACACCCGGCAUGCAAGGGGACCAGCCCCUACUAGCGGCGCGACGGAGACCACCGCCUCCGCCCUCGAGCGGGGCCAUGGACGCAGCACGCUUUGGAUCAAGGCAUGCAGUGCACCCAGGUCUGCCUGGUGCCGAUCACACGAUACGCACGUGAAGAAGGGACGAGGAGGGGCGAGGGGAGCCCGCUAGACACGUGGCCCCGGCUCGACGGUGCGAAGGCUCGUCCAAGACGUCCAGGGCUCAGCCGCAGCGCAACAGAGGGCCGGGUGAGCUGAGGUUGUCUGCAUGCGUCUGGGUGAUGACUUGUUGUGCUUCUCUUCCGAAAUUUCGUUUUCUUUUUAUAUGGUAUCUAUAUAAGCACACAUGCAGCACCAUGUUGUGUUAUGUCGUCGUUGCUGGAGGACUGCUUUUUGUGCAUGUGUGCGUGUGUGUGUCGCUGCCGACUUUACUACAACAGAUGCGAAGAAACAAGGAACGAAUGAAGCAGUCUCUAGUGGGGUGAACGAACGAGGGUGCAGUGUGGCGUGACGUCUCGCUCCCUACAUGCAAUCAGGAAUGCUUUGUGGUUCACUUAUGUUUGUGUUGUUGGCGUUGGUGGAUGGCGGGCGAGGCUGGAGGGCUUCCGGCAAGGAAACCAAACAAAAACCGGCGGUGGAGAGGAGUGGAGUGAGAGAGGAUGAUAUCCGUAGGAAACCAACAAACCGACUUGAUUCCUCUGUACGCGUCUUUUGACGCUUCUCGAGUGGCUUCUUGCUUAUUUUCGCCUUCUCUUUUCCAUGUGCGUGUGUGUCCUGUGUGCCGCUCUCUCUCUCUCGCUUUCUCUCUGUCCUUUCCACUUUUCUCUCUAACGCAUGCGCAUCUGUGCUUCUUGUCCUUCGUCUUGUUUUUUGUGUCAUCAUCGCUGCUUCGUGAACUCUCUCCCUUCCCUUCCCUUCCCUUCCCUCCCCCUCUCUUUCUUUAUAUCUCCCCCCUACCCAACCCUCUCCCCGCGUCCGCGUGUCUCUCCCUCUGUCUCGCUCACUGACUCUUUUGCUUGACUGUCGAGAGAAAGGGCGCUUCGAUUCUGAGAGGGUUGAGCUUAUCAAGUGUAGACACACACACAAACACACACACACACGCACACAGAAAAAAAAAACAGAUGACGUCUUCUCCUUCUUCUCUUUGUGCUCCCGUGCCUGCCUUGAUGUUGUGUUGUCUUCACCGAGUAGCGAGGGAGAACACACCUUCUUUUCGCCCUUCCCUCCACCUCUGCGCGCACUUUUAUGGGAGUGCGCAUACGCGUAUCACUGUGUGCGCGUGCAUGCACCCGAUGAUCGUGCUUCUCUUUCUGUUCAAUCUGAUGGCUGCCCCGAGGCACUCUUCCUACCCCACAAACUGCGAUGCACAGAGACACCAACACGGGCGGCCAUGCUGCAGUAACUGGAAAGAGGCGCUGUGGGGUGAGGGGUGAGAUAUGGUGUGAAGAAGCUGAUCUGAGCGGACCCAUCACAAUGGACGAGGAGAACUUGAGAAAUAGAUCAGUGCCAUUCCGUCUUGACACUACUUCGUCUUCCUUGUGCUUUCUCCUCUUGUCCCCCAUUUCCUCCCUCUCUCCCAUUUUCCUCCCGCCCUUCUUUCUCGCCACCGCUGCCUCAUACGCCACCUUGCCUUUUACUUUCGUGUCUCUCUCUUCGCGCCCCAUUUCUUUCUUCUUGUUCUGACGCACCUGCACAACGAUAAUGAUGCUGGGGCUUGCGAAGGGCGUAGGAAGGAAGGGAGGGAGGAGGGGUGCCGGUAGCUGAUAGGGAUGGUCCUGCUGAUGACUGCGUGUUUUGCCUGUGCGUGUGCGCUCGUGCAUGCCCAUUUUUCAGCUUGCUGUCUUUUCCAAUACUCGCGGAUUUUUGCGUGCGUGUCGUUUCAUCGCUUUAGAGCGCACCUUUUCGCUGCGGCAUUUCUGUCACAAGUGUUGCCGCGCGUUGUGUUGUCGCCGUCACGAGGCGAGGGAGGGCGUUGUGCUGUCGAGGCGUCGCUCUUGUCGGUUUUUCUUGAAUGCGUUUUGCUCUUCACCUUCUCACCCCGUCCCACCCCCUCCCUCUUUUUCCACCUUCUCCGGCACACACACACACACACACACACACACACACACGGAAUCAAUGUAUGUGUAUGCGCGCAUGCGUGCGAGGCGUGUGUUGGACGCCUCGUUUUGUGUGCAUGCCUCCAUUUUCCUUGCCUCCGUCUCGCUGACUCGAACUUAUCGAAACUCAGGGGGUGCGUUGUGGCUUUCCAUGUCGUUUUUGUGCCUUCUUUUUCAUGGCUUGCUUGCUUUGCCUUUUUCAGGUGUGUAUGUGUGUGUGGGUGUGUGCGCGUGUUUCGCUUGGCUGAAUUUUUAUGCGCCUCCUCCUCCUCCUCCUCGCUGCCUUCAUCUGCGUGUGCCGCCUCUGCUACUUUGUUCUUCUUUCACGCGCUGUCUUGCCUUUGGAUGAGUGCACUGUGGCUCCUCUUGGCGCUUGCUGCUGCUGCUGCUAAGUCGUAGUGAGGCGUAGCCGAUGCUGGGCCACUUGUUCUUCUGGUUUCUCUUCUUCGUAGCGACACCAACAUCAUACACACACACACACGCCCACGCGCAAGCAGCAGCAGCGGAACGAGAAGGAAGCAACAGAGAAGACCACCUGCCAGCGAGUCAUGCAAUCAAACCUCUCUCCUCUCUCCCCGAGUACACAUGCCUACCUACAUUCACAUAUGCGUAUGUGCGCGCGUGUGUAUGUGUGUAGCCUAACACUCCUGUCGGUCAUCGGUGGUGGGUAGGAUGGAUUCGAAGCGCAGGCGGCAAGGGAGAGAGAUGGCACACCCGAACAAAAAAAAGUAGCGCGGGCGUGCGUGCUCUCACUCGCUCUCUGUCUUCUUGGGGGAGGGAGAGACGGAGGAAGGGGCAGGGCAGGUCGCUCGCGACGUUGCCACUGGGCACCUUUCCUGUUUCCAAUUUUGUUUUUGCUGUUGCACUUCCCCGUCGUCGAAGCAGCUAAAAAAAUGACCGACACACACACAUACACACGCAUGUGCGCUUAUCUGGGACAUGUCAUGCACAGUGCCACCGCAGUGUGUGCGUGUGUGUGUCUGCUGUGUCUCUCUCUCCCUCUGUGUGUCGUCUGCCUACAUGCUCUCUGACCUGUGGAGCUUCUCUUUCUUCCUUUCUUGUGUGUGCGUGUGCUCGACGGCCUCAUUUUGAUUAUAGGCUCCUUCACUUCUUUUUUUUUUGUGCGCGUGUGCGUGCGUGUGUGUGUGUGUGGCCUCUGCGGGUUUGUGGCACCGCGGAUUCUCAUCAUACUGACACGCGCAAACACGCAAGCGUGCGAACGGGCAUGGACACACAGAUGCCUUAACAACGAGGAAGCUGCGAUACGAGUGGACGAAGAAAGAACGAAGGAAACCAACAAAACAAAAUUUGAUCUGCAAGAGCGUGUGUGUAGCUGCGUGGCUGUGUGCUUUCCUUGAUCACCG
rnacentral:misc_RNA from 1 species